GGUGGCCCCAUUCGUCCGAUGGCUCCUCCUACAACAUGGCUAGUGCUAUCAUUAUCGCUGCUAGCCAAUCAGACGGACUGUUUUGCCCUGCAGAAGAACUCUACUGGACCCGGCUACUUUCUUACGCCGUUCUUCUGCCACAUCCUUUUACCCUUUAUCCGUCACUGGGAAAAGAGAAAAGCAGAUAUCCACUGGAGUGACGUCACCCCCCCCCCCCCUCCAGCUCUAUGUCCAAUACAAAGAUCAGGAGGAAGGGGAAGAAAAUGGGGAAGAGGAGAAAGAAAGGGAGAAGAGAAGUGCAAGUCGUGUCCCAGUGUCCCUAUUGUCCAGAGGGCUGAAGGUGCCAGGUCUGUCCCCAGGGAAGAUCUACUCUCUGUCCCUCAGAGCCUCUAACCUCGCUGGGGCCGCUUGAAGCCUUGGGAACACGCACAUCACUCACACACGGCCCCUUCCCCCUUGGAACAUCACCAUUUGCUAUGUGACAGCCAGUCAGAUCACAGUAAGCUGGACGGCCCCAGACUCCCAGCAUGCUGUGCUGUUCCUGGUUUGCUGGGGGGAUGUAGCCUUAGGCCAGGAGAGGAGAAGGGGUGUGGCCAGCAGUUCCAGGUCGACUGUGAUUGGUGGACUGGAGGGGUUCAGGAAGUACAGGGUCAGAGUUAACUCCGUCACAGAACAUGAUGUGGCAAGUAGUGGAGGAACUGACCAUACACACUGGUGGUGUGUAUGUUUCUAGCAGAGGGGAGAAUCUGACAACGUGUUGGCCGACCCUGUCAGGUGUGUGUGUGUGUACUUCUGCCGUCACCCAGCAGUGUGAGAGAGGGCUCAGUAACAGAGUCGUCAUUAGAGAUGCUUUGGGAUCCAGCCCCUGGACAUGGACACAACUAUGAAGUCAUCUGUCUCGACUGUCACCACACGCUUAUGGUACUUCUGUAGAGUGUGUGUGUGUGUUUAUAAAGUGUGUGUGCAUGUAUACUGUGUGUGGUCGAGUAUCAAAUCAAGUGCCAUGUAGACUAAGAGUGAAAU